rnacentral:lncRNA from 1 species
GUGUGUUGUAGUGUGUGUCAGUGUGUGUCUUGUGGUCUGUGUGUGUCUUGUGGUCUGUGUGUUAGUGUUCACACUCAGCUCAGUUCCUCCAGUGACGUUUCGCUCCUGUUCUCAGCAGCCAGAGAACCAGCAGAACAGCUCCCUCAGGUCUCCAGACCUGCCCCCUCCUGUGACCCCUGACCCUGACCUGCCUUCCUCUGUGACCUCACCGCCAGAGGGAGCCAAUGAGAGAAGGGCACCGCCCCCUGUCCCGCCUGCCUCUGUGAAGCCUGUGUUCGGACAGGCUGACACUGCUGUCACUCAAGCUGACGAGGUGGUCCGAAACUCUGCUCCAAUCAAACCGCAGAGAACCAGGAAAGCCCUGUCCUGUGAUACAGGCAGUGAGAAGGACAGCCCCAGCCCUCAAGAGAGGUCCUCGGAGAAGAAGCCCCCUGUGAAGAAGCCCAGAAUCCCCCUGAACGCCCGAGUCAAGUCCCUGGACUGUCCCGAGAGAGGUCUGACUGCCCGAAUGUGUGACAGACCUCCUGUCUGUCUGCCUGGCCAACUGUUGGUCUCAGUGCCAAUGCUGCUCUUCCCUCUGCUGACUGCCUGUGUGUCUCUCGGCAUGUCCAUCUUUCUGUCUGACUUCCUGUCUCACUGAUGGACGUGCCUGUCUGUCUGUCACAUCACCUGUCUGCCUGUCCAUCUGCCUGAUUGCCCGUCUCACCCCCGGCGUGCCUGUCUGUCUGUCUGACUGCCCGUCUC